ACGGAAGGCAGCAGUGAGGAAUAUUGGUCAAUGGGCGGAAGCCUGAACCAGCCAAGUCGCGUGAAGGAUGAAGGUAUUAUGUAUUGUAAACUUCUUUAGACGUAGAGAAAUAAGGGUGUCGUGACACUUGAUGCUAGUAUACGUAGAAUAAGGAUCGGCUAACUCCGUGCCAGCAGCCGCGGUAAUACGGAGGAUCCGAGCGUUAUCCGGAUUUAUUGGGCUUAAAGGGUGCGCAGGCGGCUUUUUAAGUCAGUGGUUAAAUCGUGGAGCUUAACUCCAUCCCGCCAUUGAUACUGGAGAGCUUGAUUGCGGUUGAGGUUGGCGGAAUUCGCCGUGUAGCGGUGAAAUGCAUAGAUAUGGCGAAGAACUCCGAUUGCGUAGGCAGCUGACCAAGCCGUAAAUGACGCUCAUGCACGAAAGUGCGGGGAUCGAACAGGAUUAGAUACCCUGGUA
rnacentral:rRNA from 1 species